GUGGUGGAAUGUUAACGACGCGACGGAAAGAUAGAGAGAUACUUGGAGAAUCGGCUUGCAGGCUUAACAUUUGCUAUACGGAAUAACAGGACUUUCACGAUGGGCAAUCUAGGAUCUGCAUUCUCCACUCUUAAGAAUGACCCUUGAAAGGGAGACUCGAGGCGAUUUGCAUACCAGGAUUUAUUGGCUACGUCGGAGCGCCGAUGAUAAUGUGAUCCGUUCGAAUUUGCCGAACCUCAGCGUUGUGCCAGCUUUCUCCGUUUUGUAACAUAACGUAGG
rnacentral:lncRNA from 1 species